rnacentral:rRNA from 1 species
GACGAACGCUGGCGGCGUGCUUAACACAUGCAAGUCGAACGAUGAACCAGGGCUUGCCCUGGGGAUUAGUGGCGAACGGGUGAGUAACACGUGGGCAACCUGCCCCAGACACCGGGAUAACCAUUCGAAAGAGUGGCUAAUACCGGAUACGACCACUUUGGGCAUCCAACGGUGGUGGAAAGGAUUCUGGCCUGGGAUGGGCCCGCGGCCUAUCAGCUUGUUGGUGGGGUAAUGGCCUACCAAGGCGACGACGGGUAGCCGGCCUGAGAGGGCGACCGGCCACACUGGGACUGAGACACGGCCCAGACUCCUACGGGAGGCAGCAGUGGGGAAUAUUGCGCAAUGGGCGAAAGCCUGACGCAGCGACGCCGCGUGAGGGACGAAGGUCUUCGGAUUGUAAACCUCUUUCAGCAGGGACGAAGCGAAAGUGACUGUACCUGCAGAAGAAGCACCGGCUAACUACGUGCCAGCCGCCGCCGUAACAC